rnacentral:rRNA from 1 species
UACGUAGGAGGCGAGCGUUGUCCGGAUUCAUUGGGCGUAAAGAGCACGCAGGCGGUUUGGCAAGUCGGACGUGAAAAUCCGGGGCUCAACCCCGGACCUGCAUCCGAAACUGCCCGACUAGAGGUAGGUAGGGGAGAUCGGAAUUCCUGGUGUAGCGGUGAAAUGCGCAGAUAUCAGGAGGAACACCGGUGGCGAAGGCGGAUCUCUGGGCCUUACCUGACGCUCAGGUGCGAAAGCUAGGGGAGCGAACAGG